UUACAAGGCAAGUGAUUAUUAUUGAGUAAGCAUUUAAAAUUACAUAGUAGAAUUAUUGACUAAGUAGCCCAGAAUAGAGAUAGUUAAGUCUUCUGAAUAUCGUACUUGGCUCAGGUCAGUCAGAACAACGUAUUUUACAAGCAGUAAAGGAGGCAGGGGAGAUGAAGAAAUAACAUUUGCUGUCAAAAGUGUUACAGAAAUCAAAUGGCGAAAAGCUAUAGGUGGUUUGUAGUGUGAGGCCAAUUGUAAUGGUAGGAGAGAUACAGAGGGCCUCCAAAUAUUAUUUGAAAGGCAACAAACCUGGUCUAGUAUAGAAAUGACUCUGAAGUCAGGGAGAUCUGAGUUGAAAACUUGACCCUACAACUUAAAGAUGUGAAAACUUGGGAAAAGACUUAACUUCUGUAAGUUUCAGGUCCCUUAUCUAUAAAAUAGGGGUUAUAUAUCCAUUUUAUCAGGUUCACAUAAGGACUGAAAUAGGUAACACAGCUAGCACUAUAGUGCCUAAACACAGGGCUUAGUAAAUAUUAACAUACCUUCUCUCCUCCUCAAACUUUUGGGUAGCAAAAUAUAAAGCUGAAAGAAAAAAAAAGACAAACGUCUUCCAUCCUGAAGGUACAUGAGAAAAAAUGGGACAUUUUCCAAUUCUUUAAAUAGGAACAUAUCCCAAAACCAAAAAGCAGGUGGAUGGAGAACUUAGACAGGAUCAUAAUAGCCUCAGAGAUUCAGCUGAUUCCAUACAUGUGAACUCCCAAAGACUAGACUAAUGAAAAUUUCUCUGCAGUGAACCCUACUGAUGAGACUUGGAAUUAGUAGAAUUUAAGGUGACUUGGUAAUUCUAGCUCUGUUAGGAAACUAAAAAGGAGUUUCUUGGUCAUUCAGCCAGUUAGACAUUUCUGUAAUUACUAACAUAAAAAAAUAUGCCCUCGUCUAUUUUAACACUGAUCUUGAGUAGCAAAUCUUACUGGAAAAGAACUCUAACAAGAACAAAUAUUGGCAAGGUCACUAGGUCAGAUGGAAAUCCAGAAUCAUAGGAAAAAAGGAGAAAAAUACCAAUUUUAUUUGGUAGAAAGUUGGUACAGAGUAGAAUAGUCAUUUAAAUUCAUAGCUCAUUUGCCUUACAAGCUGGAGUCAUGAAACAAGAAUAAGAUUUUACAUGUAUGGAUCCUGAGCUCAUGGGUACUGAAAGGUUCAAAAGGAGAGCUCAGGUUUCACAAGCUUUGUAAGUGAUCUAUUUACACCAUAUGACUAAGAACAUAUCCUUGGACAACUUAUGAGCCCAGGCUUCUGAAACUGCCAAAUUAGGAGAAAGGAGAAUAAACAGCCACAAAAAUCCAUAAAAGCGGAAUUGUGCCUGGCAUUGUGCAGCUGUGGUGCUGCCUUCUUCACUCCCUGCGUUUCCAAUCUUGCUAAUUAAAAGGUUGAUCACAGAA